rnacentral:rRNA from 1 species
ACGAACGCUGGCGGCGUGCUUAACCCCUGCAAGUCGCACGGUGAAGCGCCUUCCUUUUUGGUGGGUGUGGAUGAGUGGCGAACGGGUGAGUAACACGUGAGUAACCUGCCCCCUUCUUCUGGAUAACCGCAUGAAAGUGUGGCUAAUACGUGAUAUUCUGGGUCUGUCGCAUGAUGGGUCUGGGAAAGAUAUUGUUUCGGUGGGGGAUGGGCUCGCGGCCUUUCAGCUUGUUGGUGGGGUGAUGGCCUACCAAGGCGGUGACGGGUAGCCGGCCUGAGAGGGUGGACGGUCACACUGGGACUGAGACACGGGCCAGACUCCUACGGGAGGCAGCAGGGGGGAAUAUUGCACAAUGGGCGCAAGCCUGAUGCAGCGACGCCGCGGGAGGGAUGGAGGCCUUCGGGUUGUGAACCUCUUUCGCCAGUGAAGCAGGCCUGCCUCGUUUGUGGGUGGGUUGACGGUAGCUGGAUAAGAAGCGCCGGCUAACUACGUG